rnacentral:lncRNA from 10 species
CUAAAACGUCACUUUUGGAGGUACAGUUCAAAAUUAGGCAGGAGAAGAACUAAGCUAAUUGGUCAGACCCAGAAACACAAAGAUUUGGCAAGCUGCAGUCACUCAGCUCAUGAUGUGUGAUAAUCAGCAGAAAGGCUGCUCAACUCUUGUCCAUUCCUUCACAUCUGUAAAGAGACACCCACAGAUGAUAAGUUACUUCAAUGAAGAAUAAAAGCAAAUUUUCCCUGCCUUAAAGCUCCGACUCAUUUCCCAAUACAGGUAUACCCUUGUUACAUUGUAUUUUUUACAAAUUAAGCAUUUGUGUCAUGAACUAUGCCCAUUAAAGAUGGUAAACUUUUCAUCAAUAAAUGUCCUGAAUGCCCACCAAACAGCCUUUCCCUAUUUCUCUUCUCUCUCCUCAGGCCUCCCUGUUCCCUGAGACAAAACAAGAUUGAAAUUAGGCCAAUUAUUAACCCUACAAUUGCAUCUAAGUGUUCAACUAAAAGGAAUAGUCCCCAUCUCUCACUCUUCUUUAAAUCAAAAGCCAGAAAUGAUUAAACUUAGCGAGAAAGUCAUGUUGAAGGCCACGAGAGGCUGAAAGCUGGGCAGGCCUUUUGGACCAGCCAAGCUGUGAGCACAAAAGCAAAGUUUUUUGUUGUUUUUCAGCUUCUCAUUCUCUGGCUGAAAAGUUCUUGAAAAAAACUAGAGGUGCUACUCCAGUGAACAGAUGAAUAAUUUAAAAAGCAAACAGCCUUAUUUCUGAUAUGGAGAAAGUUUUAGUGGUCUCUAUAGGAGAUCAAACUAGCCACAACAUUCCCUUAGGCCAAAGCGUAACCCCAGAGUAAGGCCCUAAUUCUCUUCAAUUUUAUGAAGGCUGAGAGAGGUCAGGAACCAGAAGUCAUGUUUGAAGCUAGCAGUGGUUGGUUCAUGAGGUUUAAGGAAAGAAGCCAUCUCCAUAGCAAAAAUGCAAGGUGAAGUAGCAAGUUAUCCAGAAUAUCUAGCCAAGAUCGUAAAUGAAGUUGGCUACACUCAACAUUUUCAGUGCAGACAAAACAACUUCCUAUUGGAAGAAGUAGUCAUCUAGAACUGAUAGCUAGAGAGAUAAGUGAAUGCCUGGCUUCAAAGGACAGAUGGACUCUCUUGUUAGGGACUAACACAGCCAGUGACUCUUUUUUUUUUUUUUUUUUUUUUUUUUUUUGAGACAGGGUCUCCCUCUGUCAACCAGGCAAGACCGCAGCAGAGCUAUUAUAGCACACUGCAGCCUUGACCUCCCAGACACAAGAUUCUCCCACCUCAGCCUCCUGAGUAGCUGGGACUAUAGCACGCUCCACCAUACCCAGCUAAUUUGUUAAUUUUUGUACAGACAGGGUCUCUGUAUGUUGCCCAGGCUGGUGUUAAACUCCUUGGCUCAAGCAAUCUUCCUACCUCUGCCUCCCAAAGUGCUGGAAUUGCAGGCCUGAGCCACUGCACCUGGCCACUGGUGGCUAAGUUGAAGCCAGUGCUUCAAUCCUAGAGCCCUUGAGAAUUAUGCUAAAUCUACUCUGCCUGUGCUCUAGAAAUGGAACAACAAAGCUUGGAUGACAGCGCACCUGUUCACAGCAUGGUUUACUGAAUAUUUUAAGCCCUCUGUUGAGAACUACUGCUCAGAAAAAAACAUUCCUUUCAAAAUACUACACCCAUUGACAGUGCACUUGGUCACCCAAAAGCUCUGAUGGAGAUGCAGAAGGAGAUUAAUGUUUUCAUGUUUGCUAAUAAAACAUCCAUUCUGCAGCCUAUGGAUCAAAGAGUAAUUUCAACUUUCAAGUAUUAUUUAAGAAAUACAUUUUUUAAGGCCCUAGCUACCUAGGUUCCUCUGAUAGAUCUGGGCAAAGUAAACUGAAAACCUGGAAAGGAUUCACCAUUCUGGGUGCCACUAAGAUCAUUCAUGAUUCAUGAGAGGAAGUCAAAAUAUCAACAUUAACAGGAGUUUGGAAGAAACGGAUUCCCACCCUCAUGGAUGGCUUGGAGGAAC